AGUCUCGUAGCUCAGCUGGUUGAGGACUACACUGAUAAUGUAGGGUCCCCAGUUCGAGUCUGGGCGGGACUA
rnacentral:tRNA from 1 species